rnacentral:rRNA from 1 species
AAAGGUGCGUCAGUUCGGAUUGGGGGCUGCAACUCGACCCCAUGAAGUUGGAAUUGCUAGUAAUCGCGGGUCAGCUAUACCGCGGUGAAUACGUUCUCAAGUCUUGUACUCACCGCCCGUCAACUCAAGGGAGAUGGGAAUACCCGAAGCGUCGCAUCGCGGCACCACGGUAAGCUCAUUGACAGGGAGUAAGUCGUAACAAGGCACGGGUAGCGGAAGCUGCUCGUGGAGUAAUUCAAUU